rnacentral:rRNA from 1 species
GACGAACGCUGGCGGCGUGCCUAAUACAUGCCAGUUGAGCGAUGAAGAUUGGUGCUUGCACCAAUUUGAAGAGCAGCGAACGGGUGAGUAACGCGUGGGGAAUCUGCCUUUGAGCGGGGGACAACAUUUGGAAACGAAUGCUAAUACCGCAUAACAACUUUAAACAUAAGUUUUAAGUUUGAAAGAUGCAAUUGCAUCACUCAAAGAUGAUCCCGCGUUGUAUUAGCUAGUUGGUGAGGUAAAGGCUCACCAAGGCGAUGAUACAUAGCCGACCUGAGAGGGGGAUCGGCCACAUUGGGAAUGAGACACGGCCCAAACUCCUACGGGAGGCAGCAGUAGGGAAUCUUCGGCAAUGGACGAAAGUCUGACCGAGCAACGCCGCGUGAGUGAAGAAGGGUUUCGGAUCGUAAAACUCUGUUGGUAGAGAAGAACGUUGGUGAGAGUGGAAAGCUCAUCAAGUGACGGUAACUACCCAGAAAGGGACGGCUAACUACGUG